rnacentral:tRNA from 1 species
GGCACUGUAGCUCAGUUGGUAGAGCACAUGCUUAACACGCAUGAUUGUCGUCGGUUCGAGCCCGGCCAGAGUCA